CCUUAAUGCUGCCUGUCUCUUGAGAACAGACUCUCUCAAGAGAUUCUGAACACUUCCUUGAAUAGCUCCGGACCCAAAAUACUUCUUUAACAGUUGGCUCUUCUGAAACAAGUCCCAGUGGGAAAGGAAAGGCCGGAAGCAAAGUGUCCGUGAGAAUACCUUCUGUGACCGAAGCAAGAGGAUCCAGAAAGAAAACUUGAUAUUAAGCUGUGGAGCGAUUCAGACAAGGCUCACAAUGUGCUGAGAAGUUGCAAGCCACCCGUAACAGCCAGCUCCUCACACACCGGAACCGAGAGCUGAUCCUCUUGUAAACACGCCCCUUUACCAUGCUUUCUCUCCUGCUUUCCUCUCCAUUGAAACCUUCCCAAAUUCAAGGAGGAGAAAAGACAUGGCUUGAUCUGAAGAUCAGCCAUAAACUGAAGUUUUAUAUCACUUAGAGCGCAUGAGACAACAACAUCAAUUAUUUACAGUAGAAACUAUAAAGCAUUAAUAUUUUAUUUCAUGUCAAGAACCACAUGCUAUGUAAAAAGCAGGUGUCACAAUGAGUUUCAGAGGAAUUUAAAGACAAUAAGUGAGAUACUCAACAUAAAUAUGCAUUUCCUAUUUCCCUUUAAGCAUAAAAUGUACACAACCCACAAAAGUUGGCAUCAAAUUUACAACUGCUUUUGCUCGCCAAACCUGGAAGAUGGCUGGCACAGAUGCUCAGGACAUGUAACCUAAACCGGGGGAUCAGAACCGGGAAAUUCCAGGAGCAAGCAGUGCUAGCAACAGCACAUCCAUUGAAACCUUGACUUAUUAGGCUUUGAAGCAACAAUCGUAAUGCCCAACACUAGGUGUUUGAGGGAAGAUUAUGUAAAAUAAUAUGUGCCACUUCCCGGCUCAUACCUAAGAAAUAAUAAAUGUCGGAAUCUCUUUUGCCACCAAGAGAAGCCCAGACGAGGCUAACAAAGGACCAGACCACAAAGAACAGAGGGCAGCCAUCCAGCUUACUACCACUGGACCAACCCACUGAGAUCACAAAAGUACUCCAAGUGAGUCCCAUCCAAGAGAAUGAAGAAAAGAAGUCUUGAACAGACCGAAUAAGGAGACUCUCAUGUAUCAAGGAUUAUAACUAAUUCAUUUGUGUGCAGUUGACCUUGAGCCCACGAGGAAAAAAAGAAGUGAAUGACAUGAUAUAUGUAGUCUCCUAAUGUCAAGUGGAAAAAAAUGCAUCAAACUGUAUAUUUAGCAGGACUCCAAAGCCCUAUAAUGAAGAGCAUUCCUAGGAUAGCCCACUAUUCAGAGAAGAAGGAUGAGAGUUAUGUGGAUCAGAGCUGCCCCAGGCAACCUCCAGACCUGCAGUGAGAAGCAGAGCUGCAUAGCUCGGAACAGGCCAGCUCUACCCACCAGUACACACAUGCAGGUGAAAAUAGAACAGGCAAAAUGGAGGCCAUGGAUUAAGCCUACUGAUCUAAAGUCUCUUAGAUGGUGUACAUUCUAAGAUACUGCAUCCUGCUCCCAUGCUUCACUGUACCACAUACAAUUGCUUCAAUAUCUGAUGCUUGGCUGUUUGACCUCUGUAUUCUGCACUCAGGGAGAGUGAUGGAGACAAUUCAUUCUGACAUAUUUUUCUCAGAAUCUCAUGAUUUCCUACUU